UGUCUUCCUGUUCUGGAUCCGCUGCCAUGAUUCUAUAUUAACCAUUUACCUCUCUCUCUCUCUCUCUCUCUCUCUCUCUGAGGGAAGUUGGAGAUAAUUAUAUUUUUCAAAUGAGGUUAGUGUUGGCCCUGUGGAGUAGAAUCAGCUGAGGAGAAAAAUAAAAAUAAUAAUAUAAUCUUCGAAACUUUGCUUAUUCACGAAAUGCAUUAGCUUAGCUAGUGAGCUAGUGAGCGAAAGCUCUCCUAGCAAAAAAAAAUAUAUAUAUAUAUUCUAACGAAAUAGAGCUAAUCUAGGGGAUGAAGAGGACUCUAGCAAAUGAAGGUUAUCUUCGCAAAUGGAAGCUAAAUUUGCAACUGAAUUCUAUCUAAAAAGCUAACGAGAUAGAACUUUGGAAUGAAUUUGGUUCGUAAACCGAGGUUUCGCAGUACAAGCUCAAGUUGCCUGCCUACGACAACACUGCCUAUGACACUUUUGAUAUCUCUUGUACCCUUUUCUGGUUACGGUUACUCACGCGUGACCUCAAGCAGGUGCGGUUUGGAUCCUCUGCACCAUCUGUUGAGAGUGAAUGUAGCAAUCAAAGAGUCAAUGGAGAGAGAUGAAGGAGCGAGCGAUAAGGACCGAUACGUUCAGACCUGCGGGAAGGGUCAUGGCAAGGGAACAGAAAACAGUGGAUGUGUUAGUGUUGGCUGCCCUACUUUAAGGUGUGUAUCUUCACGUUUUACCGAGGAUAUAUCAGGAACGUUCUUGGGUAACUGACUGUUGAAAGGGGCGCAAUGACACACACACACACACACACACACACACACACACACGCACACACACAAAACAGGAGGACAAGUCAUGGUGCUGUAUUGAUGGUGACUCAUUACAGCCGCCCAUGACUUCAUGUCUGAUAAACUUUAAUAAUUCUGUUCAUCCUUUUCUCUCUCUAAUCUCUCUCUCUCUCUCUCUCUCUCUCUCUCUUCUUCUUCUUCUUCUUCUCUCUAUCCCUUCCACUUAUCAAUGCCAGCAUUGAGGCUCUGAGUGUGCUUGGGGUCGUUGCUGGGCUGCGACUGGCCCUAACUACAUUCUCUCUCCACACACACACACACACACACACACACACACACACACACACACACACACACACACACAUACUGAUACACACAUACAGUGUCAAACAAAGCCUUUGUCUAUUUUAUGGAAAUUGUGUAUCUCUCCCUCUAUUUCUGAGUGUGUGUGUGUGUGUGUGUGUGUGUGUGGUCAGAUUGUGAGAACAACAAAAGGAAAACAUGGCUCAGAAUCUCACAGAUGUUAGAUGAAGGCAUAUUUUCCUAUAUGCAUGCACACACACACGCACACACACACACACACACAAAUGUGUCAUGCAGUGACAUGAUGGAAGAGACUAUGUCAUUCACAGGGUUGAAAUAAAAUCUUCACACCUACACACACAUACACAAAUAAAAUAUUAAUACUUUUUACCUGUAUCUUCAAUGAUGUCAUUAUUCUCUUUAGCGGUUAUUGAUUUUAGGCCCUUAAUCUCAGUCCUAUCGGUCUUAUAUUUUCAAGCAUCUCUGCAAUAAACCAUUUACUGUGAAGUACAUGGUUUAUAGCAAGCACAGUAAUGAGAAAUAGUAUACAGUAAUGAGAGGAAUUAUAUUCUUCUGCUGUAGCGUGCAGAAGAUCCCUGAAUCUGGUUACCAGUUCUAUGAUUAUGUUUUAUAGGUAAAUUUUGAUUGAACAAGAAAUGUAUUAUUAUUAUUAUUAUUAUUAUUA